AAGAGAAGAACAUAUAAGGAUAGCCAAGGAGACUGCCUGAUAUCUUUUUAUAAGCAAAAUGGUCAUUGCUUGAUGCAACUGAUAGUCACUUUGUCAAACAUGACACAAACCAUUUUACGGAAAGGAAUCAGGCAAGUCAUCCUUGGCUACCAAAUAUGAUUCUCCUACU
rnacentral:pre_miRNA from 2 species